UACGUAGGGUGCAAGCGUUGUCCGGAUUCAUUGGGCGUAAAGAGCUCGUAGGCGGUUCGAUAAGUCGGGUGUGAAACCUCCAGGCUCAACCUGGAGACGCCACCCGAUACUGCUGUGGCUUGAGUCCGGUAGGGGAGCGUGGAAUUCCUGGUGUAGCGGUGAAAUGCGCAGAUAUCAGGAGGAACACCGAUGGCGAAGGCAAUCCCCUGGGCCUGCACUGACGCUCAUACACGAAAGCGUGGGGAGCAAACAGG
rnacentral:rRNA from 1 species